rnacentral:rRNA from 1 species
AGAGACAGCAGUCGCCACGGGAAUACGAGGGGGGCAAGCGUUGUUCGGAUUUAUUGGGCGUAAAGGGUGCGUAGGCGGUUUGGCAAGUCUUGUGUGAAAUCUUCGGGCUCAACCCGAAGCCUGCACGAGAAACUACCGGGCUUGAGUAUUGGAGAGGUGAGUGGAAUUUCCGGCGUAGCGGUGAAAUGCGUAGAUAUCGGAAGGAACACCUGUGGCGAAAGCGGCUCACUGGACAAUAACUGACGCUGAUGCACGAAAGCUAGGGGAGCAAACAGGAUUAGAUACCCGAGUAGUCCCUGUCUCUUAUAC